GUGUCAGCAGCCGCGGUAAUACGAAGGGGGCUAGCGUUGCUCGGAAUUACUGGGCGUAAAGGGCGCGUAGGCGGAUAGUUUAGUCAGAGGUGAAAGCCCAGGGCUCAACCUUGGAACUGCCUUUGAUACUGGCUAUCUUGAGUUCGGGAGAGGUGAGUGGAAUGCCGAGUGUAGAGGUGAAAUUCGUAGAUAUUCGGCGGAACACCGGUGGCGAAGGCGACUCACUGGCCCGAUACUGACGCUGAGGCGCGAAAGCGUGGGGAGCAAACAGGAUUAGAUACCCUGGUAGUCCACGCUGUAAACGAUGAGUGCUAGUUGUCGGCAUGCAUGCAUGUCGGUGACGCAGCUAACGCAUUAAGCACUCCGCCUGGGGAGUACGGUCGCAAGAUUAAAACUUAAAUGAAUUGACGGGG
rnacentral:rRNA from 1 species